GCAUUGAGGGGAAUGAAGGUGAAUUUGAAGAUCACACCCCAGACCAUGACUUGGAAUCUCUGCCAGAAUCUUCCCUGGAAAGACUGUGUGAGCUGUGCAUAGCUGAGAGUAAACAUGCAGAUUUCUUCUUUCCCAGGACAUGAACGCUGCUGUUCCAUCCACAGAGCUGGGCAGCUGGGCCACUGGCUGGUGGGCCUGCCAGUUGUGAAGCGGUCCCCUAUGGCAAGUGCGAAAUGCCUUUGA
rnacentral:lncRNA from 1 species